UACGUAGGUGGCAAGCGUUGUCCGGAUUUCCUGGGCGUAAAGAGCGCGCAGGCGGUCGUUCAAGUCGCGUGUGAAAGCCCCCGGCUCAACUGGGGAGGGUCACGCGAUACUGAUCGACUGGAAGGCAGGAGAGGGUAGUGGAAUUCCCGGUGUAGUGGUGGAAUGCGUAGAUAUCAGGAGGAACACCGGUGGCGAAGGCGGGUCUCUGGGCCGAUACUGACGCUGAGGAGCGAAAGCGUGGGGAGCGAACAGG
rnacentral:rRNA from 1 species